UACGUAGGGUGCGAGCGUUAAUCGGAAUUACUGGGCGUAAAGCGUGCGCAGGCGGUAAGUUAAGUCUGAUGUGAAAGCCCCGGGCUCAACCUGGGAAUGGCAUUGGAAACUGGCUUGCUGGAGUGUGGCAGAGGGGGGUGGAAUUCCGCGUGUAGCAGUGAAAUGCGUAGAGAUCGGCAGGAACACCCAGGGGGAAACCAGCCGGCUGGGGACGUGCUGACGCUCAGGGGCGAAAGCGUGGGGAGCGAACCGG
rnacentral:rRNA from 1 species